rnacentral:rRNA from 1 species
GGCGUGCUUAACACAUGCAAGUCGAACGAAGAGCGAUGGAAGCUUGCUUCUAUCAAUCUUAGUGGCGAACGGGUGAGUAACGCGUAAUCAACCUGCCCUUCAGAGGGGGACAACAGUUGGAAACGACUGCUAAUACCGCAUACGAUCCAAUCUCGGCAUCGAGACUGGAUGAAAGGUGGCCUCUAUUUAUAAGCUAUCACUGAAGGAGGGGAUUGCGUCUGAUUAGCUAGUUGGAGGGGUAACGGCCCACCAAGGCGAUGAUCAGUAGCCGGUCUGAGAGGAUGAACGGCCACAUUGGGACUGAGACACGGCCCAGACUCCUACGGGAGGCAGCAGUGGGGAAUCUUCCGCAAUGGACGAAAGUCUGAGUGAGCAACGCCGCGUGAGUGAUGACGGCCUUCGGGUUGUAAAGU